AUUGAACGCUGGCGGCAGGCCUAACACAUGCAAGUCGAGCGAGCGGCGGACGGGUGAGUAAUGUCUGGGAAACCGCCUGAUGGAGGGGGAUAACUACUGGAAACGGUAGCUAAUACCGCAUACCAUCAGAUGUGCCCAGAUGGGAUUAGCUAGUAGGUGGGGUAACGGCUCACAUAGGCGACGAUCCCUAGCUGGUCUGAGAGGAUGACCAGCCACACUGGAACUGAGACACGGCCCAGACUCCUACGGGAGGCAGCAGUGGGGAAGAUUGCACAAUGGGCGAAAGCCUGAUGCAGCCACGCCGCGUGUGUGAAGAAGGCCUUCGGGUUGUAAAGCACUUUCAGCGGGGAGGCGUUACCCGCAGAAGAAGCACCGGCUAACUACGUGCCAGCAGCCGCGGUAAUAC
rnacentral:rRNA from 1 species